UACACUCCUACGGGAGGCAGCAGUGGGGAAUUUUGGACAAUGGGCGAAAGCCUGAUCCAGCAAUGCCGCGUGCAGGAUGAAGGCCUUCGGGUUGUAAACUGCUUUUGUACGGAACGAAAAAGCUCCUUCUAAUACAGGGGGCCCAUGACGGUACCGUAAGAAUAAGCACCGGCUAACUACGUGCCAGCAGCCGCGGUAAUACGUAGGGUGCGAGCGUUAAUCGGAAUUACUGGGCGUAAAGCGUGCGCAGGCGGUUAUGUAAGACAGAUGUGAAAUCCCCGGGCUCAACCUGGGAACUGCAUUUGUGACUGCAUGGCUAGAGUACGGUAGAGGGGGAUGGAAUUCCGCGUGUAGCAGUGAAAUGCGUAGAUAUGCGGAGGAACACCGAUGGCGAAGGCAAUCCCCUGGACCUGUACUGACGCUCAUGCACGAAAGCGUGGGGAGCAAACAGGAUUAGAUACCCUUGUAGUCC
rnacentral:rRNA from 1 species